AGAGUUUGAUCCUGGCUCAGGAUGAACGCUGGCGGCGUGCCUAAUACAUGCAAGUCGAACGAGGUGCUUUUGUAGCAAUACGAAAGUAUCCUAGUGGCGAACGGGUGAGUAACGCGUUGGUGACCUACCCCAAAGUGUGGGAUAACAGUUCGAAAGAACUGCUAAUACCGCAUGUGGUUAUCGGAUUUAGAAACUGAUAACUAAAGGAGCAAUUCGCUUUGGGAGGGACCUGCGUCCCAUCAGCUAGUUGGUGAGGUAAUGGCUCACCAAGGCUACGACGGGUAGGGGACCUGAGAGGGUGACCCCCCACAAUGGAACUGAAACACGGUCCAUACACCUACGGGUGGCAGCAGUAGGGAAUAUUGCACAAUGGGCGAAAGCCUGAUGCAGCAACGCCGCGUGUGCGAUGAAGGCCCUCGGGUCGUAAAGCACUUUUCUGAGAGAUGAGCAAGGACAGUAUCUCAGGAAUAAGUCUCGGCUAACUACGUGCCAGCAGCCGCGGUAAAACGUAGGAGGCAAGCGUUAUCCGGAUUCACUGGGCGUAAAGCGCGUGCAGGCGGUUCGGUAAGUUGGGUAUGAAAUCUCCUGGCUUAACUAGGAGAGGUUAUCCAAUACUACCGGACUUGAGAGUGGUAGAGGAAGAUGGAAUUCCCGGUGUAGUGGUGAAAUGCGUAGAUAUCGGGAGGAACACCAGUGGCGAAAGCGAUCUUCUGGACCAUUUCUGACGCUCAGACGCGAAAGCUAGGGUAGUAAACGGGAUUAGAGACCCCGGUAAUCCUAGCCGUAAACGAUGUAAACUUGGCGUCGGUGGCUUAAACACCAUCGGUGCCGCAGCCCACGCGAUAAGUUUACCGCCUGGGGACUACGAUCGCAAGAUUAAAACUCAAAGGAAUUUGACGG
rnacentral:rRNA from 1 species